rnacentral:rRNA from 1 species
UGCGUAGGCGGUCUUGCAAGUCAGGAGUGAAAGGCAUUGGCUCAACCAAUGUAAGCUCUUGAAACUGUUAGACUUGAGUGCAGGAGAGGAAAGUGGAAUUCCUAGUGUAGAGGUGAAAUUCGUAGAUAUUAGGAGGAACACCAGUGGCGAAGGCGACUUUCUGGACUGUAACUGACGCUGAGGCACGAAAGCGUGGGGAGCGAACA